CCUACGGGAGGCAGCAGUGGGGAAUCUUGCGCAAUGGGCGAAAGCCUGACGCAGCAACACCGCGUGCGGGAAGAAGGCUUUCGGGCUGUAAACCGCUUUCAGCAGGAACGAAAAUGACGGUACCUGCAGAAGAAGGAGCGGCCAACUAUGUGCCAGCAGCCGCGGUGAUACAUAGGCUUCAAGCGUUGUCCGGAUUUAUUGGGCGUAAAGAGUUCGUAGGCGGUCGAGUAAGUCGGGUGUGAAAAUUCUGGGCUCAACCCAGAGACGCCACCCGAUACUGCUUGACUUGAGUUCGAUAGGGGAGUGGGGAAUUCCUAGUGUAGCGGUGAAAUGCGCAGAUAUUAGGAGGAACACCGGUGGCGAAGGCGCCACUCUGGAUCGAUACUGACGCUGAGGAACGAAAGCAUGGGUAGCAAACAGGAUUAGAUACCCUGGUAGUCCAUGCCGUAAACGGUGGGCACUAGGUGUGGGUUUCUAUUAACGAAAUCCGCGCCGUCGCUAACGCAUUAAGUGCCCCGCCUGGGGGUAGGUACGGUCGCGAGACUAAACUACAAUAGAAGUUAGACGGCGUGAGACGUGCCGACGGACGACCGACGAGGGAGGUAGG
rnacentral:rRNA from 1 species